UACGGGUGGUGCGAGCGUUGUCCGGAAUCACUGGGCGUAAAGAGCUCGUAGGCGGCUUGGCAAGUCGGGUGUGAAACCUCCAGGCUCAACCUGGAGACGCCACUCGAUACUGCUAUGGCUAGAGUCCGGUAGGGGACCACGGAAUUCCUGGUGUAGCGGUGAAAUGCGCAGAUAUCAGGAGGAACACCGGUGGCGAAGGCGGUGGUCUGGGCCGGCACUGACGCUGAGGAGCGAAAGCGUGGGUAGCAAACAGG
rnacentral:rRNA from 1 species